AUUGAACGCUGGCGGCAUGCUUUACACAUGCAAGUCGAACGGUAACAGGCCGCCAGGUGCUGACGAGUGGCGCACGGGUGAGUAAUGCAUCGGAACGUGCCCAGUCGGGGGGGGUAACUACUCGGAAGAGUAGCUAAUACCGCAUACGAUCUAUGGAUGAAAGCGGGGGACCGUAAGGCCUCGCGCGAUUGGAGCGGCCGAUGUCAGAUUAGGUAGUUGGUGGGGUAAAGGCUCACCAAGCCAACGAUCUGUAGCUGGUCUGAGAGGACGACCAGCCACACUGGGACUGAGACACGGCCCAGACUCCUACGGGAGGCAGCAGUGGGGAAUUUUGGACAAUGGGCGCAAGCCUGAUCCAGCAAUGCCGCGUGCAGGAAGAAGGCCUUCGGGUUGUAAACUGCUUUUGUACGGAACGAAACGGCUCUGGUUAAUACCCGGGGCUAAUGACGGUACCGUAAGAAUAAGCACCGGCUAACUACGUG
rnacentral:rRNA from 1 species